rnacentral:rRNA from 1 species
AGUGGCGAACGGGUGAGUAACACGUGAGUAAUCUGCCCUUUACAUUGGGAUAACAUUUCGAAAGAAAUGCUAAUACCGAAUAUUCUGGCUUUUUUGCAUGAAAAAGUUGGGAAAGGAUUUCCGGUAAAGGAUGAGCUCGCGGCUUAUCAGCUAGUUGGUGGGGUAAUGGCUUACCAAGGCUAUGACGAGUAACCGGCCUGAGAGGGUGGUCGGUCACACUGGGACUGAGAUACGGCCCAGACUCCUACGGGAGGCAGCAGUGGGGAAUAUUGCACAAUGGGCGAAAGCCUGAUGCAGCGACGCCGUGUGGGGGAUGAAGGCCUUCGGGUCGUAAACCUCUUUCGCUUAUCAGCAAGUCACUAUUUUGUUAGUGAUGAGUAUAGUAGGUAAAGAAGCACCGGCUAACUACGUGCCAGCAGCCGCGGUAAUACGUAGGGUGCGAGCGUUAUCCGGAAUUAUUGGGCGUAAAGAGCUUGUAGGUGGUUGGUCGCGUCUGCCGUGAAAGCCCAUGGCUUAACCGUGGGUUUGCGGUGGGUACGGGCCAGCUUGAGUGUAGUAGGGGAGAUUGGAAUUCCUGGUGUAGCGGUGGAAUGCGCAGAUAUCAGGAGGAACACCGGUGGCGAAGGCGAAUCUCUGGGCUAUAACUGACACUGAGGAGCGAAAGCAUGGGGAGCGAACAGGAUUAGAUACCCUGGUAGUCCAUGCUGUAAACGUUGGGAACUAGAUGUGGGGAUUUUGUUAUUUCUGCGUCGUAGCUAACGCUUUAAGUUCCCCGCCUGGGGGAGUACGGUCGCAAGGCUAAAACUCAAAGGAAUUGACGGGGGGCCCGCACAAGCGGGCGGAGCAUGCGGAAUUAAUUCGAUGCAACGCGAAGAACCUUACCAAGGCUUGACAUGUACCAGAACAGUAUAGAGAUAUAUUGGCCUUUUAGGCUGGUAUACAGGUGGUGCAUGGUUGUCGUCAGCUCGUGUCGUGAGAUGUUGGGUUAAGUCCCGCAACGAGCGCAACCCUUGUCCUAUGUUGCCAGCACGUUAUGGUGGGAACUCAUGGGAAACUGCCGGGGUCAACUCGGAGGAAGGUGGGGAUGACGUCAAAUCAUCAUGCCCCUUAUGUCUUGGGCUUCACGCGUGCUACAAUGGCGCAUACAGAGAGCUGCGAUACCGUGAGGUGGAGCGAAUCUCUUAAAGUGCGUCUCAGUUCGGAUCGGGGUCUGCAACUCGACCCCGUGAAGGUGGAGUCGCUAGUAAUCGCAGAUCAGCAAUGCUGCGGUGAAUACGUUCUCGGGCCUUGUACACACCGCCCGUCACGUCACGAAAGUUGGUAACACCCGAAGAACAUGGCCUAACCUUUUGGAGGGAGUGUUCUAAGGUGGGAUUAGCGAUUGGGACGAAGUCGUAACAAGGUAGCC